UUAGAUUGCAAGUCUGGCAAAGCACCCCAAAAGGYGCCGGGGCUUCUCCCGUUU
rnacentral:tRNA from 1 species